rnacentral:rRNA from 1 species
UACGUAGGUGGCAAGCGUUGUCCGGAAUUACUGGGUGUAAAGGGAGCGCAGGCGGGACUGCAAGUUGGAUGUGAAAUACCGAGGCUCAACCUCGGGGCUGCAUCCAAAACUGUAGUUCUUGAGUGAAGUAGAGGUAGGCGGAAUUCCGAGUGUAGCGGUGAAAUGCGUAGAUAUUCGGAGGAACACCAGUGGCGAAGGCGGCCUACUGGGCUUUAACUGACGCUGAGGCUCGAAAGUGUG